rnacentral:lncRNA from 1 species
AAAAAAAACAAUGAAUUCAAUGUUCACAUUCUUCUAAAUCAAAUAUGGAAAUAAAUUUCUGCUCCAACAAAGACAAAACAGCGCCUCCUCUCAAUGAAAAUCAAAGUGCUUCUCGGUUUCAUUCAUCCCAUAUCUCUGCUCCAAGAGAACCCCAUGAAAAAAAAAUGUUGCCAACCUUCUCCCCUAAAACAGUGUUCCUGACCAAAUGCUCUCCAAAAUGAUGGUUGGAAGCUCCUCCUUUAUUCCUAAGACCAUGUGCCAACCUUAAAGGAUCGGUGGGGUCCACCCUAAAAAUAAAAGGAAACCCUAGGUCAAGUGUCCUACAAUUUUGGGUUCCUCAUAAUUUUUAACAAUGGCCCAAUGUGCAAAAGUUUGUCCAAAAAGUUUAAACAAUUAAAUU